rnacentral:rRNA from 1 species
AUGAAGAGUUUGAUCCUGGCUCAGGAUGAACGCUAGCGGCAGGCCUAACACAUGCAAGUCGAACGGUAACAGGGAUUGCUUGCAAUCCGCUGACGAGUGGCGCACGGGUGCGUAACGCGUAUACAAUCUGCCUUUAAGCGGGGAAUAGCCCAUGGAAACGUGGAUUAAUACCCCAUAGUAUUAUGAUUUCACCUGGGAUUAUAAUUAAACAUUUAUGGCUUAAAGAUGAGUAUGCGUCCUAUUAGUUAGUUGGUAAGGUAACGGCUUACCAAGACGGCGAUAGGUAGGGGUCCUGAGAGGGAGAUCCCCCACACUGGUACUGAGACACGGACCAGACUCCUACGGGAGGCAGCAGUGAGGAAUAUUGGACAAUGGAGGCAACUCUGAUCCAGCCAUGCCGCGUGCAGGAAGACGGCCCUAUGGGUUGUAAACUGCUUUUAUACGGGAAGAACCACAUCUACGUGUAGAUGCUUGACGGUACCGUAUGAAUAAGGACCGGCUAACUCCGUGCCAGCAGCCGCGGUAAUACGGAGGGUCCAAGCGUUAUCCGGAAUCAUUGGGUUUAAAGGGUCCGUAGGCGGAAUAAUAAGUCAGUGGUGAAAGUCUGCAGCUCAACUGUAGAAUUGCCAUUGAUACUGUUGUUCUUGAAUUAUUAUGAAGUGGUUGGAAUAAGUAGUGUAGCGGUGAAAUGCAUAGAUAUUACUUAGAACACCUAUUGCGAAGGCAGAUCACUAAUAAUAUAUUGACGCUGAGGGACGAAAGCGUAGGUAGCGAACAGGAUUAGAUACCCUGGUAGUCUACGCCGUAAACGAUGGUUACUAGCUGUCCGGCCUAAUUGAGGGCUGGGUGGUUAAGCGAAAGUGAUAAGUAACCCACCUGGGGAGUACGUUCGCAAGAAUGAAACUCAAAGGAAUUGACGGGGGCCCGCACAAGCGGUGGAGCAUGUGGUUUAAUUCGAUGAUACGCGAGGAACCUUACCAGGGCUUAAAUGCAGUCUGACAGGUCUGGAAACAGACUUUUCUUCGGACAGAUUGCAAGGUGCUGCAUGGUUGUCGUCAGCUCGUGCCGUGAGGUGUCAGGUUAAGUCCUAUAACGAGCGCAACCCCUGUGGUUAGUUGCCAGCGAGUAAUGUCGGGAACUCUAGCCAGACUGCCGGUGCAAACCGCG